CUCUGGUUGAUCCUGCCAGAGGCCACUGCUAUCGGAGUUCGAUUAAGCCAUGCGAGUCGAGAGGUGCAAGACCUCGGCAUACUGCUCAGUAACACGUGGACAACCUACCCUAUGGAGGGGGAUAACCCCGGGAAACUGGGGAUAAUACCCCAUAGACUAUGGAAGCUGGAAUGCUCUGUAGUUGAAAGGUCCGCCGCCAUAGGAUGGGUCUGCGGCCGAUUAGGUUGUUGUUGGGGUAACGGCCCAACAAGCCUGUAAUCGGUACGGGUUGUGGGAGCAAGAGCCCGGAGAUGGAUUCUGAGACACGAAUCCAGGCCCUACGGGGCGCAGCAGGCGCGAAAACUUUGCAAUGCGAGAAAUCGUGACAAGGGAACUCCGAGUGCCCGUAAAAUCGGGCUGUCCAUCUGUUUAAAUAACAGGUGAAGAAAGGGCCGGGCAAGACCGGUGCCAGCCGCCGCGGUAAUACCGGCGGCUCGAGUGGUGGCCACUAUUACUGGGAUUAAAGCGUUCGUAGCUGGUCUGUUAAGUCUCUGGGGAAAUUUACUGGCUUAACCAAUAGGCGUCUCAGGGAUACUGGCAGACUAGGGACCGGGAGAGGUGAGAGGUACUCCAGGGGUAGGAGUGAAAUCCUGUAAUCCUUGGGGGACCACCUGUGGCGAAGGCGUCUCACCAGAACGGCUCCGACAGUGAGGGACGAAAGCUGGGGGAGCAAACCGGAUUAGACACCCGGGUAGUCCUAGCCGUAAACGAUACUCGCUAGGUGUCGGCCACGGUGCGACCGUUGUCGGUGCCGUAGGGAAGCCGUGAAGCGAGCCACCUGGGAAGUACGGCCGCAAGGCUGAAACUUAAAGGAAUUGGCGG
rnacentral:rRNA from 1 species